GACCACCAUAGCUGCAACAGCCGCAUUGAUCAUAGACUGGCUUGCGGUAGUGGCACAAGGUGGUUAAAUGGCACACCGAACAGACAAUAAGCCUGUGAGAGAAGGGCAGCCCGUUAAGGUAUACUAUGAUGUGAACCACAAUCAUGCAGCAUAUACCCAAAAUCCACACACAAGGUGUAGGUAAGGGGCUCACCGAAUAAGAAAACAUUAAUUAAACACUAACUAAAGACAAGUUGGAAAAACAGACAGAGGCUGUAAGAACAGGCUACAAUAGGCUGACCAGUGAUCUAGCCCAGUACAGAAAGGGAAAAGCACUAAAAAGACCACAAAGGAACAAACCUCCUCAAACAACACUGUAUAGGAACAGGGGAAACAGGGGAGAAAGCUAAAGCAAUGAUCAAGUACAGAACUAAAUCUUAAAGUAAUGCAAAACAUCAGCAACAAUAGCAUAACAAAGAAGAGCCAAAAACUCUGACCUAUUCCUAGCCUAUUGAGCAGCAAAGAAAGAGACUGCUUAAUCUCAUA